rnacentral:rRNA from 1 species
GCCAGGGAACUACGAGCCAAGCUUAAAACCCAAAGGACUUGACGGUGCCCCAUACCCCCCUAGAGGAGCCUGUCCUGUGAUUGAUGAUCCCCGUUUAACCUCACCGCUUCUAGCCUACCAGCCUGUAUACUUCCGUCGCCAGCCUACCUCAUGAGUGAAACUCAGUUAGCCUAAUGACCCAUUAUUAUUUAUACCGUCAAUACGUCAGGUCAAAGUGCAGCAAAUGGAGCGGAAAGAGAUUGGCUACACUUUUUAAUAUAAAAGAUACGAAAGACAAAAAAUGAAAAUUUGUCAGAAGGUGGAUUUAGAAGUAAAAAGAAUUCAUCACAUUCUUUUUAACAAGGCACUGGAGCGUGU